rnacentral:RNase_P_RNA from 1 species
AAGGAGGGACGAUCUGCCGCGCCGCGACAUGCCUGGCAUGAAACGGUGAGGAAAGUCCGGACAGGAAAGGGCGCUUCACUGUGGAAAUCACAGAAGGGAGCAAUCUUUUGGAUACCGUAACAGAAAACAACCGCAUCACAUGAUGCAAGGGUGAAAACGCGAGGCAAGAGCUCACGACGGCAUGUGGCGACACACACCGGGUACGGUCCUGAAGCCUGCAAGACCAAAUAUACUGACAACAAAGGGCUGCCCGUCCGAUGUCAGGGGGUAGGUUGCGAAGAUAAAUGGCAGAACAAAACAGAAACCGGCUUACGGUCCCUCCUUUUUU